CGUCAGCGCAAGCGCCUCCUCCUCAGCCACUCUCGAUGUGCCGUCCCAGAGGCUGAGGGUACAGCCGUGAACAAAACAAAGCCCCUGCCCCCCCGGAGGGGGAGUCAGAAAGUAAACAAAUGCAUGUGAUAAUGGCUUCUCCCACUCUCCAGGUGAAGAGUAUUAGCAGAAAAAUGAAGUAGGGUGAGGACAUGGAAGGGAGUAUGCUGAGAAGUAUCCAUUACAAGGCAUGCUUGAGCAGACACGGAAAGAAGUUAGGGCAUAGGCCAUGGCCAUGAAGAUACUGGAGGGGAGAUUUCUAGGCAGAAGGAAUCGCAAGUGCAAAGAUCCUGAGAUGGUGGAGGCCCCAUCAGCCUGGGUCCCAGACUGAGGACAACGUGGAGCAGAGAGCCCUGCUGACCCUCGUCGGAUCUAUACCGUG